rnacentral:rRNA from 1 species
CAACUCGCCUGCAUGAAGUCGGAAUUGCUAGUAAUCGUGGAUCAGCAUGCCACGGUGAAUACGUUCCCGGGCCUUGUACACACCGCCCGUCACACCAUGAGAGUCGAUAACACCCGAAGCCUGUGAGCUAACCGCAAGGAGACAGCAGUCGAAGGUGGGGUUNAUGAUUGGGGUGAAGUCGUAACAAGGUAGC